rnacentral:rRNA from 1 species
CCUACGGGUGGCAGCAGUGGGGAAUAUUGCACAAUGGGCGCAAGCCUGAUGCAGCCAUGCCGCGUGUGUGAAGAAGGCCUUCGGGUUGUAAAGCACUUUCAGCGGGGAGGAAGGCGGUGAGGUUAAUAACCUCAUCGAUUGACGUUACCCGCAGAAGAAGCACCGGCUAACUCCGUGCCAGCAGCCGCGGUAAUACGGAGGGUGCAAGCGUUAAUCGGAGUUACUGGGCGUAAAGCGCACGCAGGCGGUCUGUCAAGUCGGAUGUGAAAUCCCCGGGCUCAACCUGGGAACUGCAUUCGAAACUGGCAGGCUAGAGUCUUGUAGAGGGGGGUAGAAUUCCAGGUGUAGCGGUGAAAUGCGUAGAGAUCUGGAGGAAUACCGGUGGCGAAGGCGGCCCCCUGGACAAAGACUGACGCUCAGGUGCGAAAGCGUGGGGAGCAAACAGGAUUAGAUACCCUAGUAGUC